rnacentral:rRNA from 1 species
UACGUAGGGGGCAAGCGUUGUUCGGAAUGACUGGGCGUAAAGGGCGCGUAGGCGGCACGGCAAGUCAGGAGUGAAAGGCCUGGGCUCAACCGAGGAACUGCUUUUGAGACUGCCGAGCUAGAGUGCAGAAGGGGCAACUGGAAUUCCCAGUGUAGCGGUGAAAUGCGUAGAUAUUGGGAAGAACACCUGAGGCGAAGGCGGGUUGCUGGGCUGACACUGACGCUGAGGCGCGAAAGCCAGGGGAGCAAACGGG